rnacentral:rRNA from 1 species
UACGGAGGGUGCAAGCGUUAUCCGGAUUUACUGGGUUUAAAGGGUGCGCAGGCGGUUAUGUAAGUCAGUGGUGAAAUCUCCGGGCUUAACCCGGAAACUGCCGUUGAUACUAUAUAUCUUGAAUGCCGUGGAGGUAAGCGGAAUAUGUCAUGUAGCGGUGAAAUGCUUAGAUAUGACAUAGAACACCGAUUGCGAAGGCAGCUUACUACACGGAGAUUGACGCUCAUGCACGAAAGCGUGGGGAUCAAACAGG